CCAUAAAUUUGAAUUUAAUCUUUCUAAAACAUUACUUUCAUUACAUCACUCCUCUUUUAAAAGUCAGCAGAAGCUCCCCAUUACACACAAUAGAACCAAAGUUUCCCCAGGCCACACAAGCUGAUGGAAGCAAAUGAGAUCGCAUUAACAUUAAUGGCUGGAAUCUCACUGCCUUGCGCCCUCACAAGCAUUACACAGGACCUAACCCUCUUGCAAAGCAUACACCUCACCCAAGUAGUUCCAGGAGUCCCCAGAGAGUGUUUUACUCUUGAAGUAAAUUCCCACUGGGCAUAGUUGCUCCCCUGAUUGGAUUUGUAUUUCUCCCGUUUUCCCCAGGCUCUACAGGCAGGACAAGCUCACGCUUCCUGUAGGCACCACAUGAAGCCACAUGCUGUGACUGUAAACCACAGUCCCAUUCUCAGAUUAGCCCUGCUCUCUCAUCUCUGCCCUGUCAUCAUAUUCUGCUGGGACCACUUCUGCUUUGAAGGACAUGGAAGUUUCUGCUAUGGAGGAAGACACUGCCGAUGUUCAUUUGCCUCCAUUACUGUGCUGGAUUCUGCCGUUUCUGGGUAUCACCACCAAUGUACUACAGCUGCCAUUAGCCCAAGGCUGCAGAGGGGUUUACAGUAAACAACAGCACAUGUAGAGAUGGAGUUUCAAUAUGCCGGCCAGGCUUGUCUCCAACCUCUGACCUCAAGUGAUCUGCCAACCUUGGCUUCUCAAAGUGCUGGGAUUACAGGUUGCAUUCGCCGCCCAGCUGGCAUGGAAGAUCGUGGUAUACAAUUUUGUUCCUCUUUCGCUGGGAUUUGUUGCUUGUGCUGACUUCUAUCCUGUACCUAUCUAUACCAGAUAUAUCCA